UGGAGCUUACGGGGGGCAGCAGUGGGGAAUCUUCCGCAAUGGGCGCAAGCCUGACGGAGCAAUGCCGCGUGAACGAAGAAGGUCUUCGGAUUGUAAAGUUCUGUCCUUAUCGAAGAGAGGGUAUAGAGUGAAAAAUGAUAUACUAGGACGGUAGAUGAGGAGGAAGCCCCGGCUAACUACGUGCCAGCAGCCGCGGUAAUACGUAGGGGGCGAGCGUUGUCCGGAAUGACUGGGUGUAAAGGGAGCGUAGACGGUUGUACAAGUCUGAUGUGAAAGCCCACGGCUCAACUGUGGGAGUGCAUUGG
rnacentral:rRNA from 1 species